rnacentral:rRNA from 1 species
AUGGUGUGCGCUCGCAGGUCCGACCUGGACUCCUCCGUCAACACCGCCACGUGGCGCGACAGAACCACAUUCUCCAUGGAGAACAGCUCUGCCGGCACCUUUGGCUCAUGCUCAAAGACGUCAAGGCCCGCGCCUGCAAUCUUUCCCUCCCUGAGUGCAAUGACCAGUUCUGCCUCGUCGAUGUUUGCUCCUCGGCCGAUGUUGACGACCACACCGUCCUUUCCUAGGGCCUCCAGCACAUCCUUGUUCACGAUGUGCCGUGUCGCCUUGUUCAGUGCGCAUGCGACAACGAGCACGUCAGAUUCAGCAGCAAGCUCAUGGACAUUUGGGAAGUAUUUGUAA